UGCCUUUAUGUGUUGCCCUGCCAUUGUUUUCCUAGUGAUGAUUGGGGUGUCAAAUAAGGCAUACAUUAACUUUUGCGGUUGAUGAUGAAAAGGAUCACAAGUGAUUCUUUUGCGCCAUCUGCUGCAAAGACAUUC